AGGACUUAAAUUUGGUCUUUUCUCACAGCUAACAGAGUUGUCCCUUCUCCCAUGAUGAUCAGCUGCUCCUCAAUGGUCUUCAUCUUUGACUCAUAAAAAUGAAUGAAGUCACAGAUGACUCCUGCUCCAGUGUUUCCAAUGACCAGGGUAGCAUCUCAGAGACCACCAGACAAACCAUCUGAAGACAGAGAGCGUGCGUGUCAACAGUAAAUGUCCCAAGAGGAAGAAUAAGCCAGUGAUUUAGGAAGACAACAGGGACAUCAUACUGCAGUUGGUAAAAAAUAUUUGCCAACUAUAUUACAUGCUAAUUCUCAGCUUGUCAAUGCAGAAUCCAAAUGCCCUUUGCCACGGGAGAUAAAAGACAUUCCUGUAA
rnacentral:sRNA from 1 species